GCAGUGGUGGUUCAGCAGUAGAACUCUCGUUUUCCACGUGGGAGACCUGGGUUCAAUUCCCAGUCAGUGCA
rnacentral:tRNA from 1 species